UCUUGACUAGUAUAUCGGUUAGUACACGCGCUUGUCAGCGCCAAGAAAGGAUCUUGCCGCGCGAAAGCUGGGUUCGACUCCCAGGUCGAGAG